GAAGGAGGACUUCCGGUUUUAAAAUGGCGGCUUGACUUCCCCGCCCCCUAGAAAGCCAAAAACAAAUAUGCAGCCCCGAGAUUUUCCUCAGCGAGAAUCCGGAGCUCAGAUUUGAGGAUGAGACAGAUCCCGGGACGACGGAGAAGUGAAAAUCUUCCGAGCAGGCGAAUCUUGCUGUGUUGCCCAGGCAGGAAUGCAGUGGUGCAAUCACGGCUCACUGCAGCCUCUACCUCCUAGGCUCAAGCAAUUCUCAGCCUCCUGAGAGUAGCUGGGACUACAGCUCCUCUCUCGAUCGGAAGAUUUUUUACAGCCACCCUACUGAUCUUUAGGGAUUUGUAAACUAUUACCCAGGAAGAAGGCCCAUGGAGCUAAGGCCUCAGAACACCAAAGUCUGGACUGUCUGAGGGCACAUGCUAAUAACAGGAGGCUGGCAAAGUGGCCAGCUCCCAUGCCUUUGCAUGCAUUUGUCUUUACCUCCUGCUGCCUGGGAACAUCCUUCCAGGAGCAAUCGAGUCAACAGCACCACAGACACUGCUAUUCCGUUGAGAAAAGUUUUAUAUGGAAACACAUACUGAUCAUGAACACGAUAAACAGGGAGGGAAGCUCGGGCUCAGCCAGGAAACCUGCCACAAGGAAGACGUUUGGAACUAUCCAGGAGUAGUGUCAAACACUAACACCAUAUUUACAAGUCUAAUUUGGAACCUGGCCCUUUUUAAGUGCAGGAGGAAGUUGGAGGAGAAGCCAUGCAUGAAGUAAAAAAUACAUAUACACAGACAUAAACACCCACAUUUUCACACUUCUUUUGCCCAUUUUUUCCACAAGGAACAAAUGAGAGAAAGAAGCCCAGCCUCUCUCCCUGGAGUCCGUAUACUUACUACAGAUUUGUUAGAGAAGCCCCAGAUGGGGCUUGGAUUCAAGGAGCAGACUUCACUCUUACUGGCCCCACUCACGUGACAAUUCACCAAGGGAAUGCUUGGGACACAAGCAUGAAUGUCCAGAAGAGGCAAGAAAAUAUAUGGCUCACUUAACUUACACAUUACACAUAAGAGGCCUCAGUUUCUCCAAGUACUUUCACAUUUGAUCUUUAGCAGACUUCUAACCUGCAGUGACAGAGCUCAGCCAAGCUGUGAGACACAGAGGAAAGCAGCAUUUUGAUCCAGUGUGCACUGGGUCAGUCACUUCAUCCGAGACAGUCAGUCACACAUGCCAGCCCCAAUAACAUGGUUUCCAAACCUCAUGAGAAAGAAUUCAAGAACAUAAGAGAGACUGAUUAGUUACUACUUUCUCAAGUUCAUUGCAUACUUAAAAAUGAACACAAUGGUUUAUCCUUAACUCUAUUCAAUCUGUGACCAACAUGUAGCUGCAGUAUUUGCCUUUUGGCAAAAAAGUCUGUUCUUAAAAAUCUACUGCUGGGCUAAAAACAAAUAGAACAACUACAUAAAGGAUGAUUUCAGCUGGAACUAGACGGGGAAUCGAUUACCUCUCAUCAGAAUCAAGUCCAUCCACAAAGAACUCUGAAGCUAACUUCUCCUGGAGGAACCGAUCCCAGCAUUCCUUCUUGGCUUGGGCCAGAGUUCGAAGCAUGUCCUUGGAAGUCACUUCCUGAUUUAAACCUUUGAUUCUUCUUAGCUUCUUCUCUAGAGAGAGAAGUAGAGCUUAACAAGGAAAAUGAGCAUGACAUGAAAUUUUAACUAAAUCUAAAACUCAAAAUACUAACUUAAAAAAAUCUCUCACUGAUGAGGACAUCUACACUCCCUGCCAAAGAGGUCAUUUUUUAAGGACAGAUAAAAGAGAAUUGAACAUUCUUCCUUUUUCCUUCACAAAGUCCUCACCCUGCAUUGUAUCAAAUAAAUGUUUAACCCGAGAAAAGGGAAAAGCCAUAGGUUCUCAUAAAUAAGUCAAUGGCAUGUUUUCUUUGAAAUCACGUAAGCCCAGCAGGUAUCUCUCUAAGGAAUGCUUGUUUUCCCUGGUUUGACAUGUGUAUACUACUGUCUUUUUUCAACUCCUUGAAAAUAAUCUCUCUGAGGAGUAAGUGGUUUUUUCUUUUUGUUACAGUAACAUGAAGUGGUUUCCAAAUCUCAUGAGAAAGAAUUAGACAAAAUGAUGAAAGAUCCAACGGUUCAUUAGAUAUUAAAAUUGACUUGAUGAGAACUCAAUAAGAGACCUUUAAAAUCUCUAUGUGUGAUUAAAUUCUUAAUAAAAAGAAUCUCCCAACAUUUUUUAAAGUUGCUCAACUUGUGGCCUGGAUGUUGGAGUCUAAUAAAAACAAACGUCUUCUAAUCCCG
rnacentral:antisense_RNA from 1 species